CAAGCGUUCAUAGCGACGUAGCUUUUUGAUCCUUCGAUGUCGGCUCUUCCUAUCACUGCCUCGCAGCGGGGGCCAAAUGCAGGAUUGUUCACCCACCAACAGGGAACGUGAGCUGGGUUUAGACCGUCGUGAGACAGGUUAGUUUUACCCUACUGCUGUCUGUUUUUCUACGGUAAUUUGGUUCAGUACGAGAGGAACCACCAAUUCGCAUCAUCGGUAUAGCCGCCGCCGGAAACGGCGAUGCGGCGAAGCUGCCAUGCGCCGGAUUAUAACUGAACGCCUCUAAGUUAGAAUCCAUGCCGGAAGGAAAGCCACCUACCGGCCCGGGGACGCCACGAGCAACGGUAGCACUGCCUGAGCCGCGAGCGACCACAAUUCACGGACCCGGGCCGACGAAUCCCUUGCAGACGACUUGAAUAAGGAACGGGGUAUUGUACGCGGCAGAGUGGCCUUGUUGCCACGAUCCGCUGAGAUUCAGCCUUGGUUCUGACGAUUUGU
rnacentral:ncRNA from 1 species